UGUGGUUAAUUCGAAGCAACGCGAAGAACCUUACCAGGCCUUGACAUGCAGAGAACUUCCAGAGAUGGAUUGGUGCCUUCGGGAACUCUGACACAGGUGCUGCAUGGCUGUCGUCAGCUCGUGUCGGUGAGAUGUUGGGUUAAGUCCCGUAACGAGCGCAACCCUUGUCCUUAGUUACCAGCACGUUAUGGUGGGCACUCUAAGGAGACUGCCGGUGACAAACCGGAGGAAGGUGGGGAUGACGUCAAGUCAUCAUGGCCCUUACGGCCUGGGCUACACACGUGCUACAAUGGUCGGUACAAAGGGUUGCCAAGCCGCGAGGUGGAGCUAAUCCCAUAAAACCGAUCGUAGUCCGGAUCGCAGUCUGCAACUCGACUGCGUGAAGUCGGAAUCGCUAGUAAUCGUGAAUCAGAAUGUCACGGUGAAUACGUUCCCGGGCCUU
rnacentral:rRNA from 1 species